rnacentral:tRNA from 1 species
UCCCUGGUGGUCCAGUGGUUAAGACUCCGAGCUCGCAAUACAGGGGGCCCAGGUUCGAUCCCUGGUCAGGGAA